rnacentral:rRNA from 1 species
AUUGAACGCUGGCGGCAGGCCUAACACAUGCAAGUCGAGCGAGUGGCGGACGGGUGAGUAAUGUAUGGGAAACUGCCCGAUGGAGGGGGAUAACUACUGGAAACGGUAGCUAAUACCGCAUACCAUCGGAUGUGCCCAGAUGGGAUUAGCUUUUAGGUGGGGUAACGGCUCACCUAGGCGACGAUCCCUAGCUGGUCUGAGAGGAUGACCAGCCACACUGGAACUGAGACACGGGCCAGACUCCUACGGGAGGCAGCAGUGGGGAAUAUUGCACAAUGGGCGCAAGCCUGAUGCAGCCAUGCCGCGUGUAUGAAGAAGGCCUUCGGGUUGUAAAGUACUUUCAGCGAGGAGGCGUUACUCGCAGAAGAAGCACCGGCUAACUCCGUGCCAGCAGCCGCGGUAAUUC